AGGAAUAUAUAGAAUGGAUCUAA
rnacentral:snRNA from 1 species